rnacentral:rRNA from 1 species
UUAAAUAAGGAAGUCUGUUCGACUUUUAAAAAAUUACAUGAUUUGAGUUCAGACCGGUGUAAGCCAGGUCGGUUUCCAUCUUCUUUAAAACUUUUACAGUACGAAAGGACCUAUCAAAAUAAUUUAAUUUAAAUAUUGGCAGAUAAAUGCAUUAGAAUUAGAAUCUAAUAAAACUAAAAUUUACUUUUCUAUUAAUUACAUUCUA